GUGGCUCUGAUUGCUUAUUGCACCACAUGUGUUUUUCUUUGAAACAAACUUGCUUUGGCGGUGGGCCCAGCCUGCCGCCAGAGGUCUAAACUUACAACCAAUUUUUUAUCAACUUGUCACACCAGAUUAUUACUAAUAGUCAAAACUUUCAACAACGGAUCUCUUGGUUCUCGCAUCGAUGAAGAACGCAGCGAAAUGCGAUACGUAAUAUGAAUUGCAGAUAUUCGUGAAUCAUCGAAUCUUUGAACGCACAUUGCGCCCUCUGGUAUUCCGGAGGGCAUGCCUGUUUGAGCGUCGUUUCUCCCUCAAACCGCUGGGUUUGGUGUUGAGCAAUACGACUUGGGUUUGCUUGAAAGACGGUAGUGGUAAGGCGGGAUCGCUUUGACAAUGGCUUAGGUCUAACCAAAAACAUUGCUUGCGGCGGUAACGUCCACCACGUAUAUCUUCAAACUUUGACCUCAAAUCAGGUAGGACUACCCGCUGAACUUAAGCAUAUCAAUAAGCGGGAGGAA
rnacentral:rRNA from 1 species